rnacentral:lncRNA from 1 species
CAGACCGCUUGCUGGAAACUGAAAGACUGUGGGCAGCAGAAAUCUGGGCACCAAUGUCCUGUGGGACAUCCUCUCAGGGGGUCAGGGGAUACGAGGGCCACAAGAGGCAUCGGAAGCUAUCGAGGCCACCGCCCAUCAGAGUUUGAGCGCCCUUGUUGUUCUCUGCCAAGCUGUUGCUCAGGCUCUACCUCAACACCUCCAGAGACGGGGACCUUGCCUCCCCCAGGAUGCCCACCACCCUAAGACUGAGAGGAUGCUGGGAACAGCUCGCCGGUUUUAUUCGAUUUGCAUCCUCAGAGCCUGGAAGACUCCAGAAAUGUCCAUCCUGUUCUCUUCCACCCCCCACCAGCCUUUGCUGAGCCUUGAGCGAAGUCUGGGGGGUCUAAGACAAGCAAAUGCAGUCCCUGCCUUGAGGAUCCCAGAGUCUAGAGAAGGAGGAAGGCCAUGGGCAGGUGAUGAUGAUACAGUGUGAUGGUGCCACAGUGGGGUCGUGCAGGAAAGAGAGGAACCAAGAGAGACCCGGGGAAGCCCGUGGGACAGAGGCUGGAUGGGAGUGGAGGGUGGACCAUGUCUAACUGGAGAUGCCGAAGGAAAAGAAGAGCAGAGGGCUCCGGCAGGCAGACGGAGGUGCAGAAGACAGGGCCUGGGAGGAGCAAUUAAAAGUAGAAAUGACUUGAAAGUCCAGAAAGAGAAGCAACGUUCGUAGCAGUUCUGGUACCAAAAUGCCUGCCAAAGGAUCCUAGGUAUGUAUGACAUGCGCCGCACGAUGACGUUGAGGUCAAUGACAGACUGUGUAUACGACGGUGCAGUACCAUACAGCCCAGGUGUGCAGUAGACUGCACCGUCUGGAUUCAUCUUCUUUUGAAGAGUCAGAAGAUUACGUGACCCUAGGCCCAUAUUCCUUUCUCCACUAGGCUCCUGCUCACAUUUCUGUAUGAAACCUCUUCUAUAGGAUGCUGUGCCCGUCAGUGGGCUUUGGGCAGCAAGCAAAAGACAUUUGAUGCAAAAAGACUUAAGCAAGUAAGGAAUUUAUGUCUCAUAUAACUCAUAGUCCAGAGGGAGGGUGGGCUUCAGGCACAGUUCAAUCAAUGGGACCCAGGUGAAUCUUUCCAGUCUCUCUACUCAGCGCUAAUGUCACCUUGAAGUUGGUCCCUCUCAUGAUUGCAAGAUGGCGGCCAGUGACGAUUGGGGCAAUA